rnacentral:rRNA from 1 species
UACGAAGGGGGCUAGCGUUGCUCGAAGAUCACUGGGCGUAAAGCGCACGUAGGCGGAUCUUUAAGUCAGGGGUGAAAUCCUGGAGCUCAACUCCAGAACUGCCUUUGAUACUGGGGAUCUCGAGUCCGGAAGGGGUGAGUGGAACUCCGAGUGUAGAGGUGAAAUUCGUAGAUAUUCGGAAGAACACCAGUGGCGAAGGCGACUCACUGGCCCGUUACUGACGCUGAGGUGCGAAAGCGUGGGGAGCAAACAGGG